rnacentral:rRNA from 1 species
AUUGAACGCUGGCGGCGUGCUUAACACAUGCAAGUCGAUCGGUAACAGGUGUAGCAAUACAUGCUGACGAGAGGCGGACGGGUGAGUAAUGCUUGGGAAUCUGCCUAUUAGUGGGGGACAACCCGGGGAAACUCGGGCUAAUACCGCAUACGCUCUACGGAGGAAAGCCGGGGACCGCAAGGCCUGGCGCUAAUAGAUGAGCCCAAGUCGGAUUAGCUAGUUGGUAGGGAACGGCCUACCAAGGCGACAAUCCGUAGCUGGUCUGAGAGGACGACCAGCCACACCGGAACUGAGACACGGUCCGGACUCCUACGGGAGGGCAGCAGUGGGGAAUAUUGGACAAUGGGGGCAACCCUGAUCCAGCGACGCCGCGUGGGUGAAGAAGGCCUGCGGGUUGUAAAGCCCUUUCGGACGGAACGAAAUGGUUAGGUCGAAUACGCCUGACUGAUGACGGUACCGUAAGAAGAAGCACCGGCUAACUACGUGCCAGCCGCCGCGGUAAG